GAUGAACGCUGGCGGCGUGCCUAAUACAUGCAAGUCGAGCGAACAGACGAGGAGCUUGCUCCUCUGACGUUAGCGGCGGACGGGUGAGUAACACGUGGAUAACCUACCUAUAAGACUGGGAUAACUUCGGGAAACCGGAGCUAAUACCGGAUAAUAUAUUGAACCGCAUGGUUCAAUAGUGAAAGACGGUUUUGCUGUCACUUAUAGAUGGAUCCGCGCCGCAUUAGCUAGUUGGUAAGGUAACGGCUUACCAAGGCAACGAUGCGUAGCCGACCUGAGAGGGUGAUCGGCCACACUGGAACUGAGACACGGUCCAGGCUCCUACGGGAGGCAGCAGUAGGGAAUGUUCCGCAAAGGGCGGAAGCCUGACGGAGCAACGCCGCGUGAGUGAUGAAGGUCUUCGGAUCGUAAAACUCUGUUAUUAGGGAAGAACAAAUGUGUAAGUAACUAUGCACGUCUUGACGGUACCUAAUCAGAAAGCCACGGCUAACUACGUG
rnacentral:rRNA from 1 species